AUGGGUCAUCAGUUAAAAGAUUGUGAAGCGGUUGAAGAGUUAGGUGAAGAAGAGUCACUUGGAGCGGUUGACAUCUCUAGAAAACACAAUGGACGGGGUGAUACCCAAACCAGUUCUCCUGUAAAGCAAAAGAAGUGGACUAGGAGACAACUUGGAAGGAAUGCAUGGGCGGAGUAUACAAAGAAGAAAAUGGUGGUUGAAAUGGAAAAAGACAACUAA